rfam:Subdoligranulum variabile DSM 15176 genomic scaffold Scfld0, whole genome shotgun sequence.
AACUUAUCAAGAGUGGCAGAGGGGACAGGCCCUGUGAAGCCCGACAACCUACACAAAUGUGCAAGGUGCCAAUUCCUGCGGGGAACCGAAAGAUAAGCG